AUGCACCAUGCGUACACCACGGUUCCUCCGCGCCGUCCACGCCAACCGGACGACGGCUCGCGACGUUUCUUCGCU
rfam:Xanthomonas oryzae pv. oryzae KACC10331, complete genome.